CAGCUCACUAUUAACCCCUGAGCUGUCAGUCAGCUCACUAUUAACCCCUGAUCUGUCGCUCAGCUUAGUAUUAACCCCUGAUCUGUCAGUCAGCUCAGUAUUAACCCCUGAUCGGUCAAUCAGUAUUAACCCCUAAUAUGUCAAACAGCUCAGUAUUAACCCCUGAUCUGUCACUCAGCUCACUAUUAACCCCUGAUCUGUCACUCAGCUCACUAUUAACCCCUGAUCUGUCGCUCAGUUCAAUAUUAACCCCUGAUCUGUCACACAGCUCACUAUUAACCCCUGAUCUGUCACUCAGCUCAGUAUUAACCCGUGAACUGUCACUCAGCUCAGUAUUAACCCCUGAUCUGUCACUCAGCUCAGUAUUAACCCCUGAUCUGUCACUCAGCUCAGUAUUAAC